GACGAACGCUGGCGGCGUGCUUAACACAUGCAAGUCGAACGGAAAGGCCCUGCUUUUGUGGGGUGCUCGAGUGGCGAACGGGUGAGUAACACGUGAGUAACCUGCCCUUGACUUUGGGAUAACUUCAGGAAACUGGGGCUAAUACCGGAUAGGAGCUCCUGCUGCAUGGUGGGGGUUGGAAAGUUUCGUCGGUUGGGGAUGGACUCGCGGCUUAUCAGCUUGUUGGUGGGGUAGUGGCUUACCAAGGCUUUGACGGGUAGCCGGCCUGAGAGGGUGACCGGCAACAUUGGGACUGAGAUACGGCCCAGACUCCUACGGGAGGCAGCAGUGGGGAAUAUUGCACAAUGGGCGGAAGCCGGAUGAAGCAACGCCGGGUGCGGGAUGACGGCCUUCGGGUUGUAAACCGCUUUCGCCUGUGACGAAGCGUGAGUGACGGUAACGGGUAAAGAAGCACCGGCUAACUACGUG
rnacentral:rRNA from 1 species